rnacentral:rRNA from 1 species
GAGGGGUGCAAGCGUUGUUCGGAAUUACUGGGUGUAAAGGGUGCGCAGGCGGGACGGCAAGUUGGAUGUGAAAUACCGGAGCUUAACUCCGGAGCUGCAUCCAAAACUGUUGUUCUUGAGUGGAGUAGAGGUAAGCGGAAUUCCGAGUGUAGCGGUGAAAUGCGUAGAUAUUCGGAGGAACACCAGUGGCGAAGGCGGCUUACUGGGCUCUAACUGACGCUGAGGCACGAAAGCAUGGGUAGCAAACAGGAUUAGAUACCCUGGUAGUCCAUGCUGUAAACGAUGAAUGCUAGGUGUGGGGGGACUGACCCCUUCCGUGCCGGAGUUAACACAAUAAGCAUUCCACCUGGGGAGUACGACCGCAAGGUUG